CCUACGGGGGGCUGCAGUGGGGAAUAUUGGACAAUGGGCGCAAGCCUGAUCCAGCAAUACCGCGUGUGUGAAGAAGGCCUGAGGGUUGUAAAGCACUUUCAAUUGUGAAGAAAGGUUGUGGAUUAAUACUCCAUAAUUUUGACGUUAACUUUAGAAGAAGCACCGGCUAACCCUGUGCCAGCAGCCGCGGAAAUACAGGGGGUGCGAGCGUUAAUCGGAAUUACUGGGCGUAAAGCGUGCGUAGGCGGAUAUUUAAGUCAGAUGUGAAAGCCCCGGGCUCAACCUGGGAACUGCAUUUGAAACUGGAUAUCUAGAGUUUGGUAGAGGCGGGUAGAAUUCCUAGUGUAGCGGUGAAAUGCGUAGAUAUUAGGAGGAAUACCAGUGGCGAAGGCGGCCCGCUGGACCAAAACUGACGCUGAGGUACGAAAGCGUGGGGAGCAAACAGGAUUAGAUACCCCUGUAGUC
rnacentral:rRNA from 1 species